GUAGGCAUAGUUUAAAAAAAAUACUAGAUUGUGAUUCUGGAGACAGGAGUUAAAGCCCCCUUGCUUACC
rnacentral:tRNA from 1 species